rnacentral:rRNA from 1 species
UACAGAGGGUGCGAGCGUUAAUCGGAAUUACUGGGCGUAAAGCGUGCGCAGGCGGUUUCUUAAGUCAGAUGUGAAAGCCCCGGGCUUAACCUGGGAACUGCGUUUGAAACUGGGAGACUUGAGUGUGGCAGAGGGGGGUGGAAUUCCACGUGUAGCAGUGAAAUGCGUAGAUAUGUGGAGGAAUACCAAUGGCGAAGGCAGCCCCCUGGGAUAAUAUUGACGCUCAUGCACGAAAGCGUGGGGAGCAAACAGG